rnacentral:rRNA from 1 species
CCUACGGGAGGCUGCAGUGAGGAAUAUUGGUCAAUGGGCGGGAGCCUGAACCAGCCAAGCCGCGUGAGGGAAGAAGGUACAGCGUAUCGUAAACCUCUUUUGUCAGGGGACAAAGGCGGGGACUAGUCCCCGGAUGAGGGUACCUGACGAAAAAGCAUCGGCUAACUCCGUGCCAGCAGCCGCGGUAAUACGGAGGAUGCGAGCGUUAUCCGGAUUUAUUGGGUUUAAAGGGUGCGUAGGCGGUCUGUUAAGUUAGCGGUAAAAUUGCGGGGCUGAACCCCGUCGGGCCGUUGAAACUGGCAGACUAGAGUUGGCGAGAAGUACGCGGAAUGCGCGGUGGAGCGGUGAAAUGCAUAGAUAUCGCGCAGAACUCCGAUUGCGAAGGCAGCGUACCGGCGCCAGACUGACGCUGAGGCACGAAAGCGUGGGGAUCGAACAGGAUUAGAUACCCCUGUAGUC